rnacentral:rRNA from 1 species
GAUGAACGCUAGCGACAGGCUUAACACAUGCAAGUCGAGGGGCAGCGAUAGUCGUAGCAAUACAAUUAGUCGGCGACCGGCGCACGGGUGAGUAACACGUAUGCAACCUACCCAUAACAGGGGGAUAAGCGGAAGAAAUUCCGUCUAAUACCGCGUAACACAUAGUUGAGGCAUCUCGAUAAUGUUAAAGAUUCAUCGCUGAUAGAUAGGCAUGCGUUCCAUUAGGCAGUUGGCGGGGUAACGGCCCACCAAACCGACGAUGGAUAGGGGUUCUGAGAGGAAGGUCCCCCACAUUGGUACUGAGACACGGACCAA